rnacentral:lncRNA from 1 species
AUGGGGACACGGCUCUUGGGGUGGUGGCCAAAGAGCCCUGGGAGAUGCCACCUGGGUUGGGGACAUGGCCACCCGUCUCUUGGGGUGGUGGCCAAACCCUGGGGAGAUGCCACCUCCAUGGGGACAUGGCCACCCGCUCUUCAGGUGGUGGCCAAAGAGCCCUGGGAGAUGCCACCUGGGUUGGGGACAUGGCCAUUGUCUCUUGGGGUGGUGGCCAAACCCUGGGGAGAUGCCACCUCCAUGGGGACAUGGCCACCCGCUCUUCAGGUGGUGGCCAAAGAGCCCUGGGAGAUGCCACCUGGGUUGGGGACAUGGCCAUUGUCUCUUGGGGUGGUGGCCAAACCCUGGGGAGAUGCCACCUCCAUGGGGACAUGGCCACCAGCUCUUCAGGUGGUGGCCAAAGAGCCCUGGGAGAUGCCACCUGGGUUGGGGACAUGGCCAUUGUCUCUUGGGGUGGUGGCCAAACCCUGGGGAGAUGCCACCUCCUUGGGGACAAGGUGGCCAAACAACCCUGGGAGAUGCCACCUGGGUUGGGGACAAGGUGGCCAAAGAGCCCUGAGGAGAUGCCACCUCCUUGGGGACAUGGCCAUCAGCUGUUGGGGUGGUGGCCAACGCUGGGGAGAUGCCACCUCCUUGGGGACACGGCCACCAUCUCUGUCCCUUGGCUUGAGGAUGAGGUGGCCAAUGCUCAGGAGAUGCCACCUGGGUUGGGGACAUGGCCAUUGUCUCUUGGGGUGGUGGCCAACCCUGGGGAGAUGCCACCUCCUUGGGGACAAGGUGGCCACAGAGCCCUGGGAGAUGUCACCUGGGUUUGGGGAUGUGGCCACCAACUCUUGGGGUGGUGGCCAACCCUGGAGAGAUGUCACCUCCAUGAGGACAUGGCUCUUGGGGUGGUGGCCAACCCUGGAAAGGUGUCACUUGGGUUGGGGACACGGCCACCAGAUCUUGGGUUGGUGGCCAACACUGAGGAGAUGUCACCUCCUUGGGGACAAGGUGGCCAAAGAGCCCUGGGAGAUGCCACCUCCAUGGGGACAAGGCUCUUGGGGUGGUGGCCAAUGCUCAGGAGAUGCCACCUGGGUUGGGGACAAGGUGGCCAAAGAGCCCUGGGAGAUGCCACCUGAGUUAGGGACAUGGCCACCAGCUCUUGGGGUGGUGGCCAACCCUGGGGAGAUGCCACCUCCAUGGGGACAUGGCUCUUGGGGUGGUGGCCAACGCUGGGGAGAUGCCACCUGGGUUGGGGACAAGGUGGCCAAAGAGCCCCGGGGAGUUGUCACCUCCUUGGGGACACGGCCACCGGCUCGUGGGGUGGUGGCCAACCCUGGGAAGGUGUCAUUUGGGUUGGGGACGUGGCCACCAGAUCUUGGG